GACAGCCCUGGCAGCCUGGCGGCGGCGGCGCAGUAGGCGGAACUCGGCGUCUACUACGACCAAUUGUAAGAGGGAAAAGCUUUUGGAAUUCAGCCGCCAUGGUGUGAGGAAGCCCAGACUAGCCCAUGUGGUGAGACCACAGAGAAAGGCCAUGUGUAGGUGUUCCAGUCAAGAGCUCAUCUGAUGUCCCAGCAGACAGAUAUGUAAGUGAAGACACAUCCAGUAGGCCAUGUAUGAGCUACAGGACUUCAGUUGACUUGUACCCCUUCUUCGAGAAUGAUCUUGGGAGUGUUGCUCCCCUCCACCACGCCCUGGCCCUGCAACCUCACAACCUAGAGGUUUGCCUUGGGAUUCAACUGCUCCCCUGCUUUGCCUGGGAAUUUGUUGACUCAGUGUUCCGUGUACCUGUGUUGCCUUUGCCACCUGCACUCCCUUGCCUUCUUUGUCUGCUUCCACAAGUCCUGCCCAUCCUCAGAUCUAGUUAACUCUCUCCUCCCCCGCAGAGCCUUCCCAGGCCCCUCCACCCACAGGCUUCUCUCCUUCUGAACUGCUCCAUAAUUUAUGUUCUUCACACCCCUCCUCCGACAAUUAAUCACCACUUACCAGCUGUGUGACCUGCAGUAAUCCCACAUGCUUGUCGUGAGGAUUUAAUGAGAUCAAGCCUAUAAAAUAAAUACCUAUCACAGUGUGGGGCACACACUGCAGUUGAGCAAUAAAUGGAAGCUGUUAUUAUUAUUACAGCCAGUUUGCCUUGUGACAUUUCUUCUGUUGAAUGUUUCAUACCCCCUCCUCUACUGCUAUUUAACUGUGCGUGACCUGGAUUCCAAAUCCCCUGAGGGCAGCUGCUCCAGGGCACCCAGAGCAGUGUCCUCGCAUAGAAGCUCACAGGGAAUAUUGCUGCUGUGACCAGGUAGAAGGGUCAUCCAAGUCUCUUUCCUUUGCUUUCUCCACCUAGUUUUGCUUCUUAGAUGACCCUGGAGCCCAAAGCUCUGAAUUUUCUAUCUCUUGAAUGACUGUCUAAGCUGUUGAAGUACAUAGCAAGAUCCAGUGGGAUGCAGUGGUUCAGUGCUUGGAAAUUAUCCCAGUUUUGUAUUUAAUUUCAUUGAAGGGUAAAAACUUGACUGUGUAUGUGCAUCAGACUUUCAAAGCUGGAGGGAAGCUUAAAGAUCACCUUAUCCUUCAUACCCAUUUUCUGGAUAUGGGGAGAUACCUUAGUGGUUGGGUUGGUCACUGAGAGACCUGGGCUCUGGCUCUUCUAUUUAUGAAGCUUUGUGUCUGGGUAAGUCACUACCCUUUCUGGUUUUCAGCUUCUUCAUCUAUAAAAUGACAGGGUUGCCGUGGAUAAUAUGUAAGGUACCUUCUAACUAAAUUUUAUGGUUCUAUAAAACUGAGGCCCAGAAAGACUAAGAAACUUUCCCUAAAUUGUGAAGCACAAGGACUAAAAUAAAAAUCUGACUUGAAUUCCAGAGGUUUGUCAGUCACUCUAAUCUAUCUUGCCAACCAAUAGUAUUCACCGAGUGCCUUCCUUAUGUUAGACACCUAUAAGCGUCAUAAGCAGGGAUAGGUCAUGGGCCUAAUUCUCAUGGAGAUUUUACAGUCUAGCUGGAAACACAGACACAAACAGAAAAUUACAACCCCAAGUAGAAUUUGAACCUGCUAGGUUAUUCCCCAAUAUUCAUUCUUCCCUCCCACUAGUACAAUUAAUAGAACCUUUGAUUUUAACUAGGCAUAUAGUGAUGCAGAAUAAAGUAAAUCUCUCAACCUUGGUUGCAGCUAAGUGUGGCCAUGUGAUCAAGUUCUGGACAGUGGAAUGUGAUCAGAAUUUUUCUGUGCAAUUCCUGGUCAUGGCUCUACCUUACCCCAUUUUCCCUUUUCCCACUGGCUGGAAUGUGGACAUGGUGAUGAACUGUCUUGUACCAUGUAAACAAAGGCACUACUCUAGAGAUGAGCAACAAGAUAGCAGGAGCCUGGGCCCCCAUGCCUUGGAGCUACCACUGGACUAAUUAUUUCUAUACUGUUAGAGAAGACAUAAAUAUAUUCCUAGGUGUUAAAUGAGGCAAAGCUAUUAUUGGGACUCUCUUACAACUUUUAAAGUCACAUCCUAACUAACAUAUAUGAUAUAUGUGUCAGUUGAGAGCCAAAGAUAUUAAUGGAAUACAGUGGACAGGGCAUUCCUGGAAGCCGUGGUGGCCAAGAUCCUUAUAGAAGUGAUGAGGUGAUGGAGUGUGAACUGGGUUGAAAAUAAUGGGUGGAAAUAGAAAAAAGGCCAAUCUAAGUGUAGUCCAUGGAAUUGAGCAAAGUUGCAGAAAUGGAAAUAUAGAUGGUAAUUUGGAACAGGACUAAAGAGAAAGUUCACAUAAGACAAUGGUUUUCAAACUGACUGACCAUCACAAUCACUA